GAUGAACGCUGGCGGCGUGCCUAAUACAUGCAAGUCGAGCGAACAGACGAGGAGCUUGCUCCUCUGACGUUAGCGGCGGACGGGUGAGUAACACGUGGAUAACCUACCUAUAAGACUGGGAUAACUUCGGGAAACCGGAGCUAAUACCGGAUAAUAUAUUGAACCGCAUGGUUCAAUAGUGAAAGACGGUUUUGCUGUCACUUAUAGAUGGAUCCGCGCCGCAUUAGCUAGUUGGUAAGGUAACGGCUUACCAAGGCAACGAUGCGUAGCCGACCUGAGAGGGUGAUAGGCCACACGGGAACUGAGACACGGUCCAGACUCCUAAGGGAGGCAGCAGUAGGGAAUGUUACGCAGUGGGCGAAAGCCUGACGGAGCAACGCCGCGUGAGUGAUGAAGGUCUUCGGAUCGUAAAACUCUGUUAUUAGGGAAGAACAAAUGUGUAAGUAACUAUGCACGUCUUGACGGUACCUAAUCAGAAAGCCACGGCUAACUACGUG
rnacentral:rRNA from 1 species